AUUGAACGCUGGCGGCAGGCCUAACACAUGCAAGUCGAACGAGCGGCGGACGGGUGAGUAAUGUAUGGGAAUCUGCCUGAUGGAGGGGGAUAACUACUGGAAACGGUAGCUAAUACCGCCUACUAUCGGAUGUGCCCAUAUGGGAUUAGCUAGUUGGUGGGGUAAAGGCUCACCAAGGCGACGAUCUCUAGCUGGUCUGAGAGGAUGACCAGCCACACUGGAACUGAGACACGGUCCAGACUCCUACGGGAGGCAGCAGUGGGGAAUAUUGCACAAUGGGCGAAAGCCGGAUGCAGCCAUGCCGCGUGUAUGAAGAAGGCCUUCGGGUUGUAAAGUACUUUCAGCGGGGAGGCGUUACCCGCAGAAGAAGCACCGGCUAACUACGUGCCAGCAGCCGCGGUAAUAC
rnacentral:rRNA from 1 species